UCGUUGGUGGUAUAGUGGAGAUCAUAACCGAAAACAAACCGGUGAACGAGGGUUCGAAUCCCUCCUGGCGAA